rnacentral:misc_RNA from 1 species
CUGUGUUCAAGUAUGACUUUCUCCGCAUGGUCUAAAGGUCUUAUGACCCAGCUCUCUGUCAUCAAAGACAGACAGAAUGGAUGUAGUCGUGUUGUAUAUUUUUAUUCUCGGGUUUGGAGUGAAUUUUACUAUCCAAGAUAAAGAAAUAACGUAUGUAGUUCCAUAUGAAAAAAGUUGUCACCUGGAUGAAAUAGUAUUCUUUGGCCCAUUCAACUGUUCAGAUAUAGAGGGUGACACGGUCAAACAUCAAGGAUCUUGUACUAUAGAGGAAAAUGGAGACGACAGCUCAGUCAGUAGUAGAUUCAAGAUUUUGACUUGCACACAUGGUCACUGGUCUGGAACGCCUAUCUCUGUUGAUAGCCUACAACACAGACGAAAACGGUUUAUAAUUCCGGCUGUCAUAACAUGUAUAUUAUUUUGUGGAGGUAGAGGAGGAGGAGGGGGAGAUACAAAAACUGUUACGAAAUAUCCACCCUCAUUUCCUGGGCACUGUAGACCAGCGAAUGUCAGAGAAAAUUAUAAUGUUGCUGCGGGCGAUACCAGCGUUGUCAUUGGUUGGACAACACCGUCAGCAACCGACAGGGACGGGGAAACACCACGUGUUACACAAAUUGGAGGAAUAAUCAAUGGUGGUCGUUUUGAAGGAGCAGUAUCUGGAAAGACGUAUAAGAUAACGUAUAAGGCGACAGACAGCGAUGGUCUCAAAGCAUAUUGUUACUUCUCCUUUACUGUCACAAUUUUAACAUGCAAAACAUUGCCAUGGCCUGUCAAUGGCGCAAGACAGUGUGAUAACAACAACAACAUACUUGGAACUUCUUGCCAUUACGCUUGUGCCCCUGGUUACCAUCUGACAGGAAGAAGUACAGUGACGUGCGAGAAUGGUGCAACACCGUCAUGGUCUGCCAUACCAACAUGUGAAAAAAUUAAGUGUAAAGUUCCGAGCUACCCGGCACAAAGCAUCGUACACUGUCAAACGUAUGACUUCCGGUCAGUAUGUUCUAUACAGUGUAAAAAGGGUUAUACAUUGGAAGGACCCAGCUAUAUGAAGUGUCGGACAGAUGGUACUUGGUCCCAUGCUGGACGCUCUACUUGUAAAGAUAAAACGCCCCCGACCAUCACAUGUAUCACUCCGCAAACAUACUAUGCUGAACGAGGUAGAACGUCUACACCAGUAAAGUGGCAUGUUCCAACUGCAGUCGACAAUGUAGACCCCUCCCCAACAGUUGUAAAAACUGAAGGUCCAACUUUGGGAGCAAGAUUAGAAGUUGGAAGAAAUAUUGUAAAAUAUAAGGCAGUUGAUGCUGAUGGGAACGAAUCACCAGAAUGCUUUAUUGAACUUCAUGUUGAAGAAAUAGCGUGCGAUCAUCCAUCAGACUUUUUUAAAGACACAUUUUUAGUAUUUACUUGUUCGCUGCCACGAUAUGUUUUCGGGGUAUCGUGUACGCUUUCAUGUAAUGCACAUCUGCCGCUAGAGGGCGCGAAUCUAGUCACAUGUGAGGUCGACGGCAAAUCAAAUGGGGUAUGGAACUGGACAACAGAAGCGAAGCCACAUUGUAAAGAAAUCGCCUGUCCUGACCUAGAUCCACCAAUCAACGGAGCACUUGUUUAUGACACGAUACUAACGCGUCCUAUGUAUACAAUGAUGUGUAACGAAGAAUUUGAUAUACCGGUCAUUGGUUCGAACUUUCAAGGCGUAUUCUUCUGUACAGACGAUGGAGAUUGGACCCCGUUUACAAAUGUACCGGACUGUAUAGAGCCAAGAAACCCCAAAUCGUUGCAUCUGCCGGCUAAGAUAUUCUACUAUGGCGGAGAAUGUGGAUCAGAUGCAACUAUGGCCGAAAUUGAAAAAAACUUUAAAGAUAUUUUAGAAUCUGAUCUCAAUCUGUAUUUCGAGGCAAUUUGUCCACACGGGGAAACUUGCGACGCGGAAAAUGUCAAAAUUAUAUGUGGACCGAUUCAAGAUCAAAAGAAAAGAUCGCUUUCAUUGGAAUAUAAAAGUGGACGUCAACGCCUACGAAAUUACACUGCAGGUAGAUCUUCAGUAGAUUUUAGAUAUAUAUACAUAUUUUAAAAUAUAUCAAAUGCGUUUUGCGAUACAUCGGACUUGAAUGAACGUCGUAUUAAUGUUUAAUGUUACAGCAUAAUAGACAUGGUAAUAUGUAAAGGCAUGGUAUAUCAUGCCGCCAUAAGCAGUUAGCUUCAAGAUUAGGAUAAGAAACAAAAUGACUCUCCUCGGCAAUUCUUGAAAAUUAUCACAAGCUUUUGCAGGUUUCAGUGGAUUAAAAUAAAAAAUAAUAAGCAGAUCAUUUUGAUAAUUUCAAUGAAAUAUCAAUAAAUCUAGUAUAACCGCACCUAAUGCGGAAAAUAUUAUGUUAUCAUAAUUCAAAGUAUUUAGUUUUUUUUCUUUUAUGUCCUAAAAAGAAAAGAAAUAAUGCUUUUGAUUACCAAAUUCGUUCUACAAGAAAUUUGUUUCUGCAUACAUGAUGUUAAACUACACACAUAUUUGUUUUUACCCUAAUUACCAGUUAUACGCAUGAAAUGAAGAAAAAAAUUGCUUCACGUGCAAGAAAAAGAAAUCUCAUAUUUUCAUGUUUAUUCUUUGGAAUAAAUCAAAUCUGGAAAGUAGAUUCCUCGGAAGCACCGAGUUCGACAUUCCGUUGAAAUAAACAAAUAUCAUGUAUAUUUUGCGGUUUCACUGAAGCAAAGAAUAUUCUUUUUAUGUUAUAUAUUUAGAUGUACAUGAUUUGUCUAUCAUUUUUAAUGCAUGUUUCAUUUUUAAACAGGACAGAUAUAUUUUGUAGGUGAACACGUGCACGUCAUGCAGAAACACUCAACUCACACACAUCUGCUCGUUUUAGAGUUCCAUAUUGUCAUGGAAUUAAAGGUAGACAAUGCAUCACUCCGAGAUGCGAUUUUAGAAUACAGCGAUAUGCAGCUGAAUAUUUUGAAACCUGCAGUGCAAGACAUGAUCAACAACGGAACAUUUGAUGUGCGUGGUUUUGACCUGAAGAAAGACUCAUUUCAGACUCCGAAGUCUGGGGACGUCAAGUGUCCUCCUGGACAUAAGCUGCAUCAGUUAAAAUGUAAACCAUGUCCUCUUGGAUAUUUCCUAAACGAAACAGCAAGCAAAUGUCAACUAUGUUCAGUCGGCCAGUACAAGGACAACGAGAGUGACAUUUACUGUACAUCAUGCCCCUCUGGAUACUCGACAAAGAAAGCCGGGUCAAAGUCACAGGCUGAUUGUAGC